CGGGGUGGAGUAAUGUCUGGGAAACUGCCUGAUGGAGGGGGAUAACUACUGGAAACGGUAGCUAAUACCGCAUAACGUCGCAAGACCAAAGUGGGGGACCGUUCGGGCCUCAUGCCAUCGGAUGUGCCCAGAUGGGAUUAGCUAGUAGGUGGGGUAACGGCUCACCUAGGCGACGAUCCCUAGCUGGUCUGAGAGGAUGGCCAGCCACACUGGAACUGAGACACGGUCCAG
rnacentral:rRNA from 1 species